rnacentral:rRNA from 1 species
AGCGAACGCUGGCGGCAGGCCUAACACAUGCAAGUCGAACGAACCUUUCGGGGUUAGUGGCGGACGGGUGAGUAACACGUGGGAACGUGCCUUUAGGUUCGGAAUAACUCAGGGAAACUUGUGCUAAUACCGAAUGUGCCCUUCGGGGGAAAGAUUAAUCGCCUUUAGAGCGGCCCGCGUCUGAUUAGCUAGUUGGUUGAGGUAAUGGCUCACCAAGGCGACGAUCAGUAGCUGGUCUGAGAGGAUGAUCAGCCACAUUGGGACUGAGACACGGCCCAAACUCCUACGGGAGGCAGCAGUGGGGUAUCUUGCGCAAUGGGCGAAAGCCUGACGCAGCCAUGCCGCGUGAAUGAUGAAGGUCUUAGGAUUGUAAAAUUCUUUCACCGGGGACGAUAAUGACGGUACCCGGAGAAGAAGCCCCGGCUAACUUCGUG